rnacentral:lncRNA from 1 species
CUCUCCUGGCUUCUAUCCAAAGCUGUGUUCCAGGUGGGGAACACCUAUGGAUGCACCAGGGUGCAACUACUCAGAGUCCAGUGUGCAGAAGGGCCCCUGCUCUAUGCUGUUUCCGUAUCCAAGCCCAAGCUCUUCUAGAGCUUCAGCAAAUCCAAGCCUCCCUGAAUUCCCUGCAAGACCAAACUGAGCCCUACAACCCCCACCACUCUGGUUAGCUGCCAGUCCCAGCCCCUGUUCCCUCCUGGGCCCCUGUCUGUACAGUUCUGAAGUCCUACAAGAAUGUUGAGAUCCUAAGCCGACUCUCACCCAAAGAGGCUGGAAGAGGGGCUCCAGAAACUUGGGAAACCUGGGCCUGUAGCUGGCAUGUGGAAAAGAGGCCUGGAAAAGCACCAUUCCUGUCCAUGAAGCCCCCAGAUGGAACCAGAAACAUGGCCAGCUGGUCCCCUAGAAGUUUGGUAUAUGGGAUAAGCCAAGGCUUGCCUUCAGCAACAGGUUUUCCACCAC